GGGGACGAAAGUUACUCUGUCUGCACCAUGUCAGGAGGGUGCUUUUGGAUGUCGACUUCAUUUAUUUCAUAUGUAAGGUAAGGAUUUAAAGGUCAAACAUCUCAUGCUUGGUUACUUUUCUGUGUAUGUAUGUUCCUUGCAUGGUUUUGAGUUUCGGAGUUAAUGGGGAUUAAAAUUGUACGUUUUUUGGAUUCUGAUUCAGUGAGAUGCUUAAAGAAUGAUAAUUUUUACUUCCAAACAAAUUUGAUGCUGACUUGUGAUAUAUUUCUCAGUUUCCUUACCCUUGUGUGUUCGGCUACCUAUUCUACAAGUUUUAUUGUAGGAAACCUCCAUUUAUAUUACUGAGUAGUUUACUCGAUUGAGCAGUUCACUCAAUCGAGGUUCAAGUGUUAGGUUAUCGUGGCGUAUCUUUUAGUUUCUAAAAUACACAUUGUUUGGUUCAAAUAGAGAUGUGUAGCAGAGACGUUCAAGCGGAAAAUGGCAAUUACUAACUACUAAGUAAACAAUCCAAAUGAUGUGCAUCAUGUAAUGAAGGUAAAGCUCUCUAUUUCCCAGAUUAGGGAACAGGGGAACUUAAGCUUAAGUUAGUUUUGCUCAUCACCUGAUCCUGCCACCGCGGCCCAUGGAGGCACUGUUGCAGGGGCCGCAGCUGCCACCAUUCCUGUCCAAGACGUACGAUCUCGAAGGCGAGCCGCAGCUGGACGGGGUCAUCUCCUGGGGUCCUUCGUCGUGUGGAAUCCUUCCACCUUUGACCGGGACGUGCUCCCGCACAACUUCAAGCACAAGAAGUUCUCCAGCUUCGUCAGCCAGCUCAACACCUACGUGUGUAUCGUAUCACUGUCCAAUCCUCUGUUCUCAUCUUUCUUUUCUUUUACAAUCUCUCACUGGAUUAUUAUUCAUGAUGCCGUCCUCUGCUGGGGAGGCACUCUGUUUCUGUUUGGUAUCUGGCACUCUGUUUCGGAUGCUCUAUUUUUGGUUUUGUUCCUUCUGGUUUCUGCUGAUGUACUCAACCCAAAUCUGUUGUGUGUAUAUAUAUAUAUAUAUACUCUUUGUACUUCCCUUCAUACUUUUAGUGAGAGGAGUUGUGGUUUGUAAUGCCAAUUUGGUGUUUCUUUUGUUAGCGGAAUCGUGGUCUGUAAUGCCAAUUUGGCCUUUCCCGAAAGAACUGGUUUAUCUUCAUCACUGAAAUAUUCCUGAUUCCUAAGGAGUUGAUCCUGUGAUGGCAAGCUUAACCAUUUGCUGGGAUGCGACGCUGCUCGCGCUCAAAUGUAAGCUUCGCAAUCCAAAUGUGUAUACGCAUUUGUAUUUGCACAUACUGCAAAAUCGUUCUCUCCAAUAGCAAAAUAAGAACACGACAGCAUAUUUGGUUGUUUUUUGCUGCUUUGCGCGACCAUGCAUUCUUCCCAACUCCUCUGUCUGCCUCUUAACAGGAUUGGUCUGGUGCAGUUUCACUCCUUGUAAUUUAUCAUUUCUCCAUAUCGCCAUAUUUCUCAGAAUUUAUCGCUGUGUAUUUCAAAACUAUAAAUACCAUAGUGCAACUACUACAGAUUCUUUUUAAGGGUACUGAAGACUUUUUUUGGUGGGUAACACUCCUCAGUUUGCUUCCUGUUUUGUACAAGGAUUGGAAGAGCAAUUUGGUUUAGUCUUUGUUCAGUUAUACUCCCUCUAUCUUUUUAGAGACUCCAAUAUGGACUACAUAUAGAGAAAAAUGAGUGAAUCUACACUCUAAAAUAUGCCUGGUAGUAACUUUAUGAAUGAAACUCCAAUUGCAACGAAAGCACCUUAUGGUACAGCUCCUAAAGUUCCAGGUCUUGAUGAGUUAAGUAGUAGUAGCCAUAUGUUUGUUAGGUCUAGGACUUAUGAUGGAUGUUACAUUUUCUUAAUGAAGCCUUCUCACUUGCCAAUGCAGGUGAAUGAUUAUCUUUCGAGAUAUAUAGGAUUGCUCUAAGAUGCUUUAUGAGCCCCGAGUGUCGGAAAGAUGUGUAGUUUAUAGGUAAGUUGCAAGUGAAUAUCGGAGACCCUUAUUUCUUACCGUACAUUCUUUUGAGAUUGGUAUUCAUAUUAUGCUUAAAGCUCAAGCCUUUUCCACCUGAAUUAUACCUAUUGUUACAGGAUUAGUUAAAACUCGGUUCUUGGGGUUUACUUAGAUGAACUGAAAAGAUAGUACAAUUUUAUCCAUAAUGUAUUCCAUCUUCUUUUGCUCCUUUUAAUUAUACGUCUAGAUACAUCCAUUUCUCCGACAAGUAUUUCCGGAUGAAGGUUGUAUUUUUUUGCCUUUAUUUGCAUUUUACCCUCAAAUAGAUGGACAUGAAUUGAUCUGAGUCAUAAGUCAUCACUGAUUGCAUAGGAGUAGGCCGGGGUAAGUGUCCAGUACCACACCCUUUCUUAUCAAGUUUCUUACAUGUGUUUGUUACAUUCAUUUCAUUUGUAUCUCCUCUUCUGUUCUACAAUUCCUUUUACUUAUGAUUUCUUAUUAUAGUGGUAAAUUUUAAUUGCUUGGGUUGUUGCUGCUAUGAAAAUAUAUUUCUAUCUUUUAGGUCUGUUACUUUAGUCUCUCACUUUCUCUCUCUGAUUUCAUAAUGAUAUGAACUUCUAUUAUAUAUGCUGCAAGAUUGGAGAGAUUCUUUUCAAACUCAACCUGUGUCACGAGCUACUUGGUUACUUCUCAUUACUUGGAGGAUGCAUGGAUUGGAGAGAUUAUGGAUGAGGACUGAAUUAUGUGUAGCUAUGAUAUCUUCUAAUUUUGGUCAUAUGUAUCUUACAAGAAUUCCAGUAUACAUUUUGGUCACCUGUAUCAGAAUAAGGAUGCACAUUUAAUUAUUACAACCUCCAAGCCCAUCAUUUGGAUUUUUAUGCAGUUUCUUCUGAUGCAAAUAUUUAGUUCGUUGUGUAAUUCUAUUGGAUCAUCAUGGAUGAGGCCUGAAUAAUGUAUAGACAUGAUGGAUGCUCUUAUUCCUUAUGACUCAUCAUCAAAACUGACUAUGGUGUGGACUGUGGAUAACACUUUUAUCAUGGGCCACUUACUGGUUUCUAGCUUGUCAUGUCGGUUCUUGCAGCAAUUUUUUGGUGGGGAUAUAUAUGGGUAAUGUGGAGAAGUAAUUGGCGGCUGUGUUUCCUCCAACAUCCAGACUGACAAGAAAAAUCCUUGCAGUCAAUCUUGCGAUUCACAGGAGUAAGAGAUUAAAAGUCCUAGACUGGUGGUGAGGAUUUGGUGAAUCGUGUACAUAUUAUCAUAUCGAUGGCGAAACCGGCAACAUUCAUAUGGUUCAUGGCGAAGCCAUGGUGUGCACCAUGACACUGGAUCUGGACGAUGCACUGAGAGGCACUAACAUUUUACCCUUUUUGGUUGAUCGUAUAACACUGAAAUUGUCUUUCUUUUUGUAUGUCAUGCUACUUCUCUUAUUAAGAAUGUACCACUUGCUUCUAAUGGCUAUAACAUGACAAAGCUCUCUUCCUAUCAAGUGGCUAUAACAUGUGAAUG
rnacentral:lncRNA from 1 species